rnacentral:ncRNA from 1 species
AGGAGCCGUAUGAGGCGGAAGCUCCACGUACGGUUUUGAAGCCGAGCCUUUCCAGCAAUGGGGCCUAGGGACCGAUUUGCGAAGAACACGCAAUGUUAGAUCAAAGUAGGGAAGAAUCCUUAUGAUAUUCUUGAAAAAGAUUGUACCAAUUAUAGCACAUACACAAAUGUAAUUUCCAUGUCCACCUUUAC